rnacentral:rRNA from 2 species
GAGUGGCGAACUGGUGAGUAACACGUGGGAAACCUGCCCAGAAGCGGGGGAUAACACCUGGAAACAGAUGCUAAUACCGCAUAACAACUUGGACCGCAUGGUCCGAGUUUGAAAGAUGGCUUCGGCUAUCACUUUUGGAUGGUCCCGCGGCGUAUUAGCUAGAUGGUGAGGUAACGGCUCACCAUGGCAAUGAUACGUAGCCGACCUGAGAGGGUAAUCGGCCACAUUGGGACUGAGACACGGCCCAAACUCCUACGGGAGGCAGCAGUAGGGAAUCUUCCACAAUGGACGAAAGUCUGAUGGAGCAACGCCGCGUGAGUGAAGAAGGGUUUCGGCUCGUAAAACUCUGUUGUUAAAGAAGAACAUAUCUGAGAGUAACUGUUCAGGUAUUGACGGUAUUUAACCAGAAAGCCACGGCUAACUACGUGCCAGCAGCCGCGGUAAUACGUAGGUGGCAAGCGUUGUCCGGAUUUAUUGGGCGUAAAGCGAGCGCAGGCGGUUUUUUAAGUCUGAUGUGAAAGCCUUCGGCUCAACCGAAGAAGUGCAUCGGAAACUGGGAAACUUGAGUGCAGAAGAGGACAGUGGAACUCCAUGUGUAGCGGUGAAAUGCGUAGAUAUAUGGAAGAACACCAGUGGCGAAGGCGGCUGUCUGGUCUGUAACUGACGCUGAGGCUCGAAAGUAUGGGUAGCAAACAGGAUUAGAUACCCUGGUAGUCCAUACCGUAAACGAUGAAUGCUAAGUGUUGGAGGGUUUCCGCCCUUCAGUGCUGCAGCUAACGCAUUAAGCAUUCCGCCUGGGGAGUACGGCCGCAAGGCUGAAACUCAAAGGAAUUGACGGGGGCCCGCACAAGCGGUGGAGCAUGUGGUUUAAUUCGAAGCUACGCGAAGAACCUUACCAGGUCUUGACAUACUAUGCAAAUCUAAGAGAUUAGACGUUCCCUUCGGGGACAUGGAUACAGGUGGUGCAUGGUUGUCGUCAGCUCGUGUCGUGAGAUGUUGGGUUAAGUCCCGCAACGAGCGCAACCCUUAUUAUCAGUUGCCAGCAUUAAGUUGGGCACUCUGGUGAGACUGCCGGUGACAAACCGGAGGAAGGUGGGGAUGACGUCAAAUCAUCAUGCCCCUUAUGACCUGGGCUACACACGUGCUACAAUGGAUGGUACAACGAGUUGCGAACUCGCGAGAGUAAGCUAAUCUCUUAAAGCCAUUCUCAGUUCGGAUUGUAGGCUGCAACUCGCCUACAUGAAGUCGGAAUCGCUAGUAAUCGCGGAUCAGCAUGCCGCGGUGAAUACGUUCCCGGGCCUUGUACA